rnacentral:rRNA from 1 species
AUUGAACGCUGGCGGCAUGCUUUACACAUGCAAGUCGAACGGUAACAGGCCGCAAGGUGCUGACGAGUGGCGAACGGGUGAGUAAUGCAUCGGAACGUGCCCAGUCGUGGGGGAUAACGCAGCGAAAGCUGCGCUAAUACCGCAUACGAUCUCUGGAUGAAAGCGGGGGACCGAAAGGCCUCGCGCGAUUGGAGCGGCCGAUGUCAGAUUAGGUAGUUGGUGGGGUAAAGGCUCACCAAGCCAACGAUCUGUAGCUGGUCUGAGAGGACGACCAGCCACACUGGGACUGAGACACGGCCCAGACUCCUACGGGAGGCAGCAGUGGGGAAUUUUGGACAAUGGGCGCAAGCCUGAUCCAGCAAUGCCGCGUGCAGGAAGAAGGCCUUCGGGUUGUAAACUGCUUUUGUACGGAACGAAACGGCUCUGGUUAAUACCUGGAGCUAAUGACGGUACCGUAAGAAUAAGCACCGGCUAACUACGUGCCAGCAGCCGCCGUAAAAC